rnacentral:rRNA from 1 species
GACGAACGCUGGCGGCGCGCUUAACACAUGCAAGUCGAACGGAAAGGCCUGCUUUCCCUUGUGGAUUGCGGGUACUCGAGUGGCGAACGGGUGAGUAACACGUGAGUGAUCUUCCCCCAACUUGGGUAUAAGCCUGGGAAACUGGGUCUAAUUCCCGAUAGGACUGCAGGGUGGUGCCUGUGGUGGAACACGAUUUUCUAGUGGUUGGGGAUGAGCUCGCGGCCUAUCAGCUUGUUGGUGGGGUACUGGCCUACCAAGGCGGCGACGGGUAGCCGGACUGAGAGGGUGGACGGUGGCAUUGGGACUGGGUCACGGCCCAGACUCCUACGGGCGGCAGCAGUGGGGAAUAGUGGACAAUGGGCGGAAGCCUGCUACAGCGACGCCGCGUGGGGGAUGACGGCGUUCGGGUUGUAAACUCCUUUCGAAGGCGAGGAAGCCACCUGGUUGGAAGGGUGGUGACGGUAGUGGUAGAAGAAGCACCGGCUAACUACGUG